rnacentral:rRNA from 1 species
CCUACGGGAGGCAGCAGUGGGGAAUAUUGCACAAUGGGGGAAACCCUGAUCCAGCAACGCCGCGUGCGUGAAGAAGUAUUUCGGUAUGUAAAGCUCUAUCAGCAGGGAGGAAAAAAGACGGUACCUGACUAAGAAGCCCCGGCUAACUACGUGCCAGCAGCCGCGGUAAGACGUAGGGGCCAAGCGUUAUCCGGAUUUACUGGGUGUAAAGGGAGCGUAGACGGCUUUGCAAGUCUGAGGUGAAAGCCCGUGGCUCAACCGCGGAACUGCUUUGGAAACUGUAUAGCUUGAGUACUGGAGAGGCAGGCGGAAUUCGUAGUGUAGCGGUGAAAUGCGUAGAUAUUAGGAGGAAAACCAGUGGCGAAGGCGGCAUGCUGGACAGAAACUGACGUUGAGGCUCGAAGGCGUGGGGAGCAAACAGGAUUAGAUACCCCAGUAGUC